rnacentral:rRNA from 1 species
UACGUAGGGACCAAGCGUUGUCCGGAUUUAUCGUGGCGUAAAGAGCUCGUAGGCGGCUUGUCGCGUCGUCCGUGAAAACUCACAGCUCAACUGUGAGCUUGCGGUCGAUACGGGCAGGCUAGAGUUCGGUAGGGGGAGACUGGAAUUCCAGGGUGUAGCGGUGAAAUGCGUAGAUAUCUGGAGGAACACCGGUGGCGAAGGCGGCGAUCCUGGACCGGGAUGACAC